rnacentral:sRNA from 1 species
AACCCACAUCUACGAGUCAUUAUCCGUUGAUGAACCAUUUAUCCAAGGCGCUAGAUUGGGGCUCUGGUCUUGAGAAAUCCCCCUCAUGUCACCAUAUCUUUUGAUGGACAGCGAAAUAUAUGCACGAGGAACAAACAUAUUUGACAUGCUUUUUACCCCGACUGUCGGAUUAAACAGAUAUCUCAUACGAAAAUGUCGUUUUUAAUAUUUUUAGCUUAUACUACAUUCUUUUCCUGAGUUAUAAAUACUCGACAUAUACGAUUCAGGAUUCUUAUUCUCCUAUACAAGCUGUGACCCCAUUACCUACCACGCGACCGAUCGAGAAGGAUUACAAACCUCUCAAGUGUUAGUGCAAGCUUAGACUUUGAAGGCCAGAGUAUCUACGGAGGAGCCAUGGCAGCGAUUGAAGCCAUGACGAAGAACGUGGACACGUGAACUUGGCGAUUGUGCCACUGCCCAUGCCAUCAGCCUGGGCGCGGUCGUCCGGGAUAUGCACUAGGAGGCAGGAGAUGACUUUUGGAUGACCAUGUGGAGUUGGCAGGACAAUACGCCCGACAGCAAGCUUGCGGUGUACGAUUGAUUUACGGGGACGGGUGUGGAGAAGCUGAGUAAGGAGAUUCAGAUGCUCGUCUGGGAGAAGAUGGGUGGGAGAAGGACGGCUUUUACGGAUGGCAUUGCUGGCAUCGUGGGCAUGUUGUGUACGAAGGAUGGUCAGUGGUGUGCCAGGAGUUUAGUAUGUGUUAAUGGAGGGCUGAGGAUGGGCAUAUGACUCUCUAGAAAAAAGAUAUCUUUGCAGUAAUGGUUUAAAGUCUGAAUCGAAAUUGGUGGCAUGGAGCUGGUGCGUUUUGGUUUUACUCCUAGUUCUGGAAUAAGCAUAAAUCGCGAAUAGCCUCAGUUGUGCUCCCUCCCUCGAUACCUUAUUUACUUAGUAGGGGAGUGAAUAUGGAAAGGAAGGUACUAGUAUUUAUAAAUUAAUUAUUCCAUUUGGGUUGGCUUGAGAGUUUUGACACCCUUAGAGGCAAGAAGCCGGAAUGCUCGACGGGCUAUAGAUUGACAUACCCUGUGGAUUGCAUUCAAUAUAUAGAUCAUCCAUACAACUUACAACUUCCUCGAUUUUCGAUGUUUUACGGUUGCUGAGCGCCUCGAGGCGGAGUCACUAGAACAGCAAUGAGUUCCGCAGCCCAGAACGUGGAUUUGAUAAAGCUCGAAGGCACUCUCGAAGGCAGCAAGAUAACCUCUGGCAAGACAACAGCAAUAAUGAUGAGGCGGAGUAAUCCACAACCC